rnacentral:rRNA from 1 species
CGAAACCGCGAAUGGCUCAUUAAAUCAGUUACGGUUCACUAGAUCGUACAGUUUACAUGGAUAACUGUGGUAAUUCUAGAGCUAAUACAUGCACCCAGUCCGUUCCCUCGUGGAGCGGAUGCAGUUAUUUGCCCAAAACCAAUCCGGCCUUCGGGUCGGUCAAUUGGUGACUCUGAAUAACCGAAGCGGAGCGCAUGGUCUCGUACCGGCGCCAGAUCUUUCAAGUGUCUGACUUAUCAGCUUGUUGUUAGGUUAUGUUCCUAACAAGGCAUCAACGGGUAACGGAGUGUCAGGGCCCGACACCGGAGAGGGAGCCUGAGAAACGGCUACCACAUCCAAGGAAGGCAGCAGGCGCGCAAAUUACCCACUCCCGGCACGGGGAGGUAGUGACGAAAAAUAACG